UGACCAAGUGGCUGUGAACGGGUUUAUGAUUAUUCCUAUCACAGCCUGCUUGGAUCAGC
rnacentral:pre_miRNA from 1 species